rnacentral:rRNA from 1 species
AUGAACGCUGGCGGCAUGCCUAAGACAUGCAAGUCGAACGAGGUGGCCCAAUGAAAACUGGAGUGCUUGCACAAAGUUGGAUUUGGUUUACCACCUAGUGGCAGACGGGUGAGUAACACGUGGGUGACCUACCUUUAAGUUGGGGAUAACAGUUGGAAACGAUUGCUAAUACCGAAUAAGAUAUAACUGUCGUGGUUAUAUUGAAAGGAGCCUUUAAAGCUUCGCUUAAAGAUGGGCCUGCGGCGUAUUAACUAGUUGGUGGGGUAAUGGCCUACCAAGGUAACGAUGCGUAGCCGGACUGAGAGGUUGAACGGCCACACUGGGACUGAGACACGGCCCAGACUCCUACGGGAGACAGCAGUUAGGAAUAUUCGUCAAUGGGGGAAACCCUGAACGAGCAAUGCCGCGUGAGUGAUGAAGGUCUUUGGAUUGUAAAACUCUGUUGUAUGGAAAAAAUAGCUAGAUUAGGAAAUGAAUUUAGUUUGAUGGUACCAUACCAGAAAGCCCCGGCUAACUACGUG